ACGAUAUUAUAGCAGAUUCGUCAAUCAUUUUAUGAAUUUGGUGUUAAGGCCACUGCGGUGACGUAUCCGGUUGUCGUAACCCUGUAAUUUAUAAACCUUGAACUAUACAAGACUUUGAAAAUAGUGAAGAAAAUAAGUAGCAAUAUUUGAGUUUAGAGUAUUCAUGAGAGUUUUGGUGUUGCGGACAUAAAAUCCGAUCACAAUUUUUAAGCAUUUAAAAUGGCGGAUCCACAAAUUGUUUGGAUUUGCCCAAAACUUAUUCCUUGGGGAUUUUUGUGGUUGCUGAUUACGAUCGGAAAAAUACAGUCCUGUUCUUGGUUACAGAAUUUAGUCAAAUUUCGUCGUUUAAGUUUAAAUUAUAAUGGCAUACCACAUUAGAGCAGAAGGUCGGCCAAAAAUUACAUCAGCGGUUUAAGAGCGCCAAUUGUUUAUAUACUUGAGUAGCUUUUCAAAUCACUGACUUAUACGCAGUCACAUACAUGUCUGCAAAAUCAGUUAAAUGUUAAAUUUAAAUUAUUCAAACAUCUCAAAACCAAAAGGACUAAUUUACGCUGAAAGCUGCGUACGGACUGACUGGCAUGGCUAUAUCAACUCAGCUCAGACAAUCCUUCCUCGACUGAAAAUAUAAAAAUCUCAUCACGGCAAAUACUGUGGAUUUGGCAAAACGCAAUCAUAUUCUAAAUUAGCCCAGUACAUUCAAUAGAACUUGUAAAUUUAAGGAUAA